UACGUAGGUGGCAAGCGUUGUCCGGAUUUAUUGGGUUUAAAGGGUGCGUAGGCGGCUUAUUAAGUCAGUGGUGAAAUACUCUAGCUCAACUAGAGGGGUGCCAUUGAUACUGAUGAGCUUGAGUACAGAUGAGGUAGGCGGAAUUGACGGUGUAGCGGUGAAAUGCUUAGAUAUCGUCAAGAACACCUAUAACGAAGGCAGCUUACUAGGCUGUAACUGACGCUGAGGCACGAAAGUGUGGGGAUCAAACAGG
rnacentral:rRNA from 1 species